AGAAUUUUUGAGAUGAAGAAAACAGAUCAGGGACAGCCGAGACGUCUCCGGAUAGUCUCAGAGACGUCUCUGGCACAAACCGGAAGAACUGGCACACUUGGAGACGUCCCCGGCACCUGGUGAGGCGUCUCGCAGGAUCGGAGUCGACUCUCUCAGUAGCGGAGUCGACUCUCUCAGUGGCGGCAGAAAGGCAGAUUUCAAGUGAUACGCGCGAGCCGUCCCCACAGUACGCGGAGUCGUCCCCGCAAGUUAAAAAGCUGAGUUUCCGAGUCGUCCCCAGUGUAGCGGAGUCGGCUCUCUCAGGGUUUUCCAGAGGAUGUCUUUUUCGGAGUUAAGGCAGCGGAGACAUCCCCUGAAAGAGCGGAGUCGACUCUCUUAGAGAAUUCCAGAAGACAUGUUUUUCGGAGUUAUAACGACGGAGUCGUCCCCAAGGCAGCGAANNNNNNNNNNNNNNNNNNNUGCAAACAAGCCGAGACGUCCCUAUAAAGCGCCGAGGCGACCCUCUCAGAAAAACAGAAAAACAAGGAUUCAAACCGUUCAUCAUCGGAGUCGUCCCCGUAAAGUGCCGAGUCGACCCCAAACAAAGUGAAAAGUAAAUUUAUACAGCCGAGACGUCUCGCGUUGAAGCGGAGACGUCUCCGGAGCGUCUGGGACGCGACUGACAACUUUUGCAGGUUUGGUUUGAAUUUCAAAUCUCUUUUACUUUAUCUCUAAUNNNNNNNNNNNNNNNNNNNNNNNNNNNNNNNNNNNCUUAAGUGCUUCUCAUUAACUUCUCACCAACCCAAAGCAAGAUCAUUCAAGAGAGAAGAAAGAAAAAGAGGUUCAAGAGAGUUAGUGCAUUCAAGUGAAGAAAUCAAGUGCUUUCAAGUUUUCCAACUGAUUUCAAGCUCAACUACUCUCUUCCGCUCGGCAUUCAAAGCUCACACUCAAGCCUACGCGAUCCACAUCGGAAGAAUCAUCAUUUCCCACGCUUCCAACGGCAAAAGGAUUCUUCCGGGUUUUAUAGUUCAUCAUUGUUAUAUUUGCUUACUUAGAGCUUUCCAAUCGUUUGUAAAACUCUUUCAAUAUUGUGCUUGUUCCAGUCAAGGGACUUGGAACAAGGGAAAGGCGUCCCAAGCCUAGGUGAAAUUGGGGGUUAUAGGGUUUGUUGUUAGCCCGGUGUAAAACAACGAGUUGGGUAGUGCACUCGCAAAACUACCGGACUGUAAUCUUGGAUUAUAGUGGAAAUUCCCAAAG
rnacentral:lncRNA from 1 species